UAUCUGCCGUGGGUGUAGGAAUAUUGACAGGAUCUGUCCCUAGUACGAGAGGACCGGGAUGGACGCACCGCUGGUGUACCAGUUGUAUCGCCAGAUGCAUGGCUGGAUAGCUAAGUGCGGAACGGAUAAGCGCUGAAAGCAUCUAAGCGCGAAGCCAACCUCAAGAUGAGAUCUCCCACAGAGUUAAUCUGGUAAGACCCCUUAUAGAAGAUGAGGUAGAUAGGCCGGAUGUGUAAGGGCAGUAAUGUCUUAAGCUGACCGGUACUAAUGGUUCGAGGGCUUGACCUACAA
rnacentral:rRNA from 1 species